rnacentral:rRNA from 1 species
UGGACCCACCUGAGACCAUACCGAACUCAGAAGUGAAACGCUGUAAUGCCGAUGGUAGUGUGGGGUUUCCCCAUGUGAGAGUAGGGCACCGCCAGGU